rnacentral:rRNA from 1 species
GACGAACGCUGGCGGCGUGCUUAACACAUGCAAGUCGAACGGAAAGGCCCUGCUUUUGUGGGGUGCUCGAGUGGCGAACGGGUGAGUAACACGUGAGUAACCUGCCCUUGACUUUGGGGUAACUUCAGGAAACUGGGGCUAAUACCGGAUAGGAGCUCCUGCUGCAUGGUGGGGGUUGGAAAGUUUCGGCGGUUGGGGAUGGACUCGCGGCUUAUCAGCUUGUUGGUGGGGUAGUGGCCUACCAAGGCUUUGACGGGUAGCCGGCCUGAGAGGGUGACCGGCCACAUUGGGACUGAGAUACGGCCCAGACUCCUACGGGAGGCAGCAGUGGGGAAUAUUGCACAAUGGGCGGAAGCCUGAUGCAGCAACGCCGCGUGCGGGAUGACGGCCUUCGGGUUGUAAACCGCUUUCGCCUGUGACGAAGCGUGAGUGACGGUAAUGGGUAAAGAAGCACCGGCUAACUACGUG